CAUGGGAGUGGGUUGCAAAAGAAGUAGGUAGCUUAACCUUCGGGGGGGCGCUUACCACUUUGUGAUUCAUGACUGGGGUGAAGUCGUAACAAGGUAACCGUAGGGGAACCUGCGGUUGGAUCACCUCCUUACCUUAAAGAAGC
rnacentral:rRNA from 1 species